rnacentral:tRNA from 1 species
ACGGGCGUAGUUCAAGGGUAGAAUAGUGGUCUCCAAAACCAUUGAUGGGGGUUCGAAUCCCUCCGCCCGUGCCA